CUUUUUUCUGGCUUAUACAUAAAAAUUUGUGACGCCGCUCCUGGACCCCUCAUCCGGUGCGAAACGGAGGUAUGGACGACAGGGAGACCUCCAAGCAUCGGCAACGCAAGCGCGGCAUCGCCUCGUCCCUCUUUUCCUGGCCGAAUCCAACCGAUGCAACUCUAAGAAGAACGGCGGCGCAUAUGCUUCUUUCUGUGGAUGAUAUGAAACUCCUGGCUGAUUUUAAUAUUAUUUUAUUUUCAGGUUUAUGUUUUGUAGGUUUGGUGAUCAAGUGUCAGGAAUCCAGUUAGGUUCGAUUGGUCCAUUGGGAGGUUUGCGUUGAGUUUGGCUAAAUUAAUUUAUUUAGAGGUUUGCGUUGAAUUUGGU